rnacentral:snRNA from 1 species
AGCUUUGCACAGUGGCAGUAUAGUAGCCAAUGAGGUUUAUCCGAGGCGCAAUUAUUGCUAAUAGAGUAGCAAAACAUUAUUUAU